AUUGAACGCUGGCGGCAGGCCUAACACAUGCAAGUCGAGCGAGCGGCGGACGGGUGAGUAAUGUAUGGGGACUGCCCGAUAGAGGGGGAUAACUACUGGAAACGGUAGCUAAUAUCGCUAACUAUCGGAUAACCCAUAUGGGAUUAGCUAGUAGGUGAGGUAAUGGCUCACCUAGGCGACGACCCCUAGCUGGUCGGAGAGGAUGAUCAGCCACACUGGGACUGGGACACGGCCCAGACUCCUACGGAGGCAGCAGUGGGGAAUAUUGGACAAUGGGCGCAAGCCUGAUGCAGCCAUGCGGCGUGUAUGAAGAAGGCCCUGGGGUGGUAAAGUACUUUCAGUCGGGAGGCGUUACCGACAGAAGAAGCACCGGCUAACUCCGUGCCAGCCGCCGCGGUAAUUC
rnacentral:rRNA from 1 species